rnacentral:rRNA from 1 species
UACGUAGGGGGCAAGCGUUGUCCGGAAUCAUUGGGCGUAAAGCGCGCGUAGGCGGCCCGGUAAGUCCGCUGUAAAAGUCCAGGGCUCAACCCUGGAAAGCCGGUGGAUACUGUCGGGCUAGAGUGCGGAAGAGGCGAGUGGAAUUCCUGGUGUAGCGGUGAAAUGCGCAGAUAUCAGGAGGAACACCGAUUGCGAAGGCAGCUCGCUGGGACGUUACUGACGCUGAGACGCGAAAGCGUGGGGAGCAAACAGG